UUAAUAGAAACCAAAAAAGAGGUUAUUCACUGUUAAUGAAUAUAUUGAAUAAAUCCUAUUAGG
rnacentral:tRNA from 1 species